CUUGACCGAGCCCAGCCAGAGCGGCCGAUCGGCGGGGCGGUCCUGGCCGUAGGUGGCCAGCAGCGCCUGCGCCUC
rnacentral:antisense_RNA from 1 species